rnacentral:lncRNA from 1 species
GUUUCUGAAAGACGUAGAAAUAUUAAGUACAUAAUUUUGACAAUAAAAUAGAGGAGAGGGGAGGAGAUGAAAUGAAAUAUACAAGGUUCAACAACAACUAUAACGUUCCAUACUCAAAGAAGCAAUUGACGAAUAAUAAUACGUCGUAUAUAUGUAGCUUCUACAACGUCAUAUUACGAAUAGCUGUUGAGAACUAGGUAGAACGAUGUCGUUUACUUAAAAACUAUAAAAUUGGAGUAGAACGUGGAUACUCGCUUACCACAGGCAUACGUGCAACUGACAGCAGCAGGAAAAAUGUCUGUUAUCGUUUAUACUUGGAAGUAACACACCCAGCAAUACGCAUUUUCUAUAUAUUUCAGUAGAAAAAGAUUGCAGUUUGCACAGAUGCACCGGAUGUCGGUCCGCACAACCGUCGCCAACAACCGUUCCAAGUCGAAUGAGGAGGAGUGAUCGAAUCGAGGAUGCACUCGAGGAUGCGUUCGAGGAUGCGCUCGAGGAUGCGCUCGAGGAUGCACUCAAGGAUGCACCAACGUAGGAGGCUUUAACCGAAGGUCCAUCCUUCGCAAAAAUGCAUCAUUGCGACCUCUACUAAUGCAAUAACUAAGUAAUUCUGAUUAAUAGUGCACUGGGAUACAUAUUUAAUCUAGACAUAUGUACGAGUGUUAAUAUUUUCAAUUAAAUUAAUUCAAAUUAUUCCAA